AUGAACGCUGGCGGCGUGCCUAAUACAUGCAAGUCGAGCGAACAGACGAGGAGCUUGCUCCUCUGACGUUAGCGGCGGCCGGGUGAGUAACACGUGGAUAACCUACCUAUAAGACUGGGAUAACUUCGGGAAACCGGAGCUAAUACCGGAUAAUAUAUUGAACCGCAUGGUUCAAUAGUGAAAGACGGUUUUGCUGUCACUUAUAGAUGGAUCCGCGCCGCAUUAGCUAGUUGGUAAGGUAACGGCUUACCAAGGCAACGAUGCGUAGCCGACCUGAGAGGGUGAUCGGCCACACUGGAACUGAGACACGGUCCAGACUCCUACGGGAGGCAGCAGUAGGGAAUCUUCCGCAAUGGGCGAAAGCCUGACGGAGCAACGCCGCGUGAAUGAUGAAGGUCUUCGGAUCGUAAAACUCUGUUAUUAGGGAAGAACAAAUGUGUAAGUAACUAUGCACGUCUUGACGGUACCUAAUCAGAAAGCCACGGUUAACUACGUG
rnacentral:rRNA from 1 species